rnacentral:rRNA from 1 species
GACGAACGCUGGCGGCGCGCUUAACACAUGCAAGUCGAGCGAGAACCAGACCUCGGUCUGGGAAGACGGCGAACGGGUGAGUAACACGUGGGUAACCCACCCUUGGUACCGGGAUAGCCCGAGGAAACUCGGAUUAAUACCGGAUGGCCCAACAGCUCUUCGGGGCGGUUGGAAAAGGUAGCUUCGGCCUCCGACCAAGGACGGGCCCGCGGCGGAUUAGCUUGUUGGUGAGGUAACGGCUCACCAAGGCUUCGAUCCGUAGCGGUCUGAGAGGACGAUCAGCCACACUGGGACUGAGACACGGCCCAGACUCCUACGGGAGGCAGCAGGUGGGGAAUCUUGCGCAAUGGGCGAAAGCCUGACGCAGCGACGCCGCGUGGGGGAAGAAGGC